ACAACAGGGAUUGCCCUAGUAACGGCGAGUGAAGCGGCAACAGCUCAAAUUUGAAAUCUGGCCUUCGGGUCCGAGUUGUAAUUUGUAGAGGAUGCUUUUGGCGCGGUGCCUUCCGAGUUCCCUGGAAUGGGACGCCUUAGAGGGUGAGAGCCCCGUAUGGUUGGACACCAAGCCUCUGUAAAGCUCCUUCGACGAGUCGAGUAGUUUGGGAAUGCUGCUCUAAAUGGGAGGUAAAUUUCUUCUAAAGCUAAAUAUUGGCCAGAGACCGAUAGCGCACAAGUAGAGUGAUCGAAAGAUGAAAAGCACUUUGAAAAGAGGGUUAAAUAGCACGUGAAAUUGUUGAAAGGGAAGCGUUUGCGACCAGACCUUUUCGUAGCGGAUCAUCCGGUGUUCUCACCGGUGCACUUCGCUUCGUUUAGGCCAGCAUCGGUUUCUGUAGGGGGAUAAAAGCCUGGGGAACGUAGCUCCCCCGGGAGUGUUAUAGCCCCUCGCAUAAUACCCUUACGGGGACCGAGGACCGCGCUUUAUGCAAGGAUGCUGGCGUAAUGGUCGUCAACGACCCGUCUUGAAACACGGACCAAGGAGUCGAACAUUUAUGCGAGUGUUUGGGUGUUAAACCCUCACGCGUAAUGAAAGUGAACGGAGGUGAGAGCCCUUACGGGUGCAUCAUCGACCGAUCCUGAUGUCUUCGGAUGGAUUUGAGUAAGAGCAUAACUGUUCGGACCCGAAAGAUGGUGAACUAUGCGUGGAUAGGGUGAAGCCAGAGGAAACUCUGGUGGAGGCUCGCAGCGGUUCUGACGUGCAAAUCGAUCGUCAAAUCUGCGCAUGGGGGCGAAAGACUUAUCGAACCAUCUAGUAGCUGGUUACCGCCGAAGUUUCCCUCAGGAUAGCAGUGUUGUUCUUCAGUUUUAUGAGGUAAAGCGAAUGAUUAGGGACUCGGGGGCGCUUUUUAGCCUUCAUCCAUUCUCAAACUUUAAAUAUGUAAGAAGCCCUUGUUACUUAAUUGAACGUGGGCAUUCGAAUGUACCAACACUAGUGGGCCAUUUUUGGUAAGCAGAACUGGCGAUGCGGGAUGAACCGAACGCGGGGUUAAGGUGCCGGAGUGGACGCUCAUCAGACACCACAAAAGGUGUUAGCACAUUUAGACAAUAGGACGGUGGCCAUGGAAGUCGGAAUCCGCUAAGGACUGUGUAACAACUCACCUAUCGAAUGUGCUAGCCCUGAAAAUGGAUGGCGCUCAAGCGUCCCACCCAUACCUCGCCCUCAGGGUAGAAACGAUGCCCUGAGGAGUAGGCGGCCGUGGGGGUCAGUGACGAAGCCU
rnacentral:rRNA from 1 species